rnacentral:tRNA from 1 species
GAGGGUAUAGCUCAGUGGUAGAGUGUGUGCUUAGCAUGCACGAGGUUUUGGGUUCAAUCCCCAGUACUUCUG